rnacentral:rRNA from 1 species
UACGGAGGGUGCGAGCGUUGUCCGGAAUCACUGGGCGUAAAGGGCGCGUAGGUGGCGCGGGCAGUCAACGGUGAAAGUUCGGAGCUCAACCCUGAAUCGGCCGUCGAUACUCCCGAGCUCGAGCACUGUAGAGGCAGAUGGAAUUCCGGGUGUAGCGGUGGAAUGCGUAGAGAUCCGGAAGAACACCGGUGGCGAAGGCGGUCUGCUGGGCAGUAGCUGACACUGAGGCGCGACAGCGUGGGGAGCAAACAGG